rnacentral:lncRNA from 1 species
AUCAGUCUAAGCUAGUAGUAUGAUGGGUUGUUCCUUAGUCCUUUAUGAAGGCUUUCUUAGGAACUAUCAUUUUAAUGACGAUUCUGAUAGUGCUCUUGGCUAAGUGUUCUUCGUUCAUCAAUUAGAAUUUGGUUUUCCCAUUUUGUGUACUUCUAGACCUUAGGUUUUUCACUUUAAUUUUUCUUUUUCAAACCAUUUUGUGUACUUCUAGACUUUCA